UACGGAGGGUGCAAGCGUUAUCCGGAUUCACUGGGUUUAAAGGGUGCGUAGCGGAUGAGGGAGUCCGUGGUGAAAUCCUGCAGCUUACUGCAGAACUGCCGUGGAUACUCUCUAUCUUGAAUAUCGUGGAGGUUAGCGGAAUAUGUCAUGUAGCGGUGAAAUGCUUAGAUAUGACAUAGAACACCCAUUGCGAAGGCAGCUAACUAGCGAUAUUGACGCUGAUGCACGAAAGCGUGGGGAUCAAACAGG
rnacentral:rRNA from 1 species